rnacentral:lncRNA from 1 species
AAGGGUUAAGGUUUUUAAGUACCAAAAGGGAAAUACUAUUUCCUUACAACUUUAAGUGAGUGUUACUACACACAUUCUAUUUUCGCUUACUCGAUGUAAUUAUAAGUGUAUAAUUGACUCGUUAUGCGUGCGCAGGUUCCACUUUAUUCUGUUAAUCAUUGUACCUAACGAGGGACAAGUAAAAGUCAUGGACCCGAAACGCACACCCCUCACUGAAUGGGCGAACAUGCAUGAAUGCCUUCAGAGGUAAUUUCAAUCAUUAUGGCACUAUAUCGGCAACUUUUCGUUCAUUUCCUGAUAGCAAGGAAUUAAUAUAGAACUCCUUUAUUCAUUUCCUUUUCUUUGGAGGGCUUGGAAACGGUUCACCGCCAAGGCUCGCGGUGUUUGGAAGUCAGAGCUUACAUUUAGACAAUUGGAUAUAAGUAACUAAUAGCUAGAUCCACACAUCUCUUUAUUCUAGUUUCAAUACCAUCAACAACCAAAAAACAGAGGAGAGGGUGGCAGGGGCGAAGGUAUAUAUAGACAUCACUUUAGUCCCGGUUUUUGUCUAAAACCGAAACUAAAAGCCUACCAUCUAGUCCCGGAUCUGGCCAAAAACCGGGACUAAUGCUCCGCGGCACGCCACGUGGCAGUCGCUGAAUCUUUAGUCCCGGUUUUUGCCCCGAACCGGGACUAAUAAGAACCGAACCGGGACCAAUGACCUGGCAAACUGAACCGGGACCAAUGCGUGGCAUUGGUCUCGGUUUUAGUUUGAACCGGGGCUAAUAGUCUUUUCUGCUUCAGCCGAAAGACUCAUUUUCUACUAGUGGAUCGGAGUUAGAUGGUGUUGAUAGUGUGUCGGACUGACGUUGUACUGGAAUUUUCGUGGUAUGUAUAUAGCACAAGUCAAUUCUAACAGGACAUCUUUUAUAGAUUGAGGGUCAUGCAACUCGCCGCUAACAUAUAUAGUGUCAUCCGGAACUGAU